UUUUCGAAUUGGGAUGAUGGUGGCCGUUUUCCAGUCUGGAGGGACGAAGUGAGUCGUGAGCAUGCGGUUGAAGAGGUGAAGGAGGUGCGUUUUGUUGGUGUCCGUUAGAUUAGCGAUCAUUUGAUUGUGGAUUAAAUCUCUUCCCAUGGAGUUGCUGUUUAGUUGUCUGGUUGCGUAGUUUAGUUCGUUGUUUGUGAUUUGGGAGUUGAGGGCGUUGGGUUCGCUCGAUUCGAUUCCUUUGGUUAUGUUGAGCUCAAGUCUUGGGUCGUCUGGGAUGUCUUCGCUUUGGUGGUCAUAUUGGAUGGAGAAGAUUCUGGUUUUUUCUUUUGCUGAUGUAAUGAUUUGAUUUGUAACAGGGUCUUGUAUUGGGGAGCAGUUGAGGUCUGGGGCUCGUGUGCCGUUGAUCCACGCCUUGGUAAAGGCCCAGGUUUUGGUUGCGUUGCUUUUUGGGCUGAGGCUUCUUUUUUGGACUCGCAGUUAACUCCUCCUUUGCUGGGGUCGCAUCGAUUUCGUGCUCUUCUUGCUUGAGCUACUGCUUUCUUGCAAUUUACUGUCCACCACGCUUGGGCAGGUUCCGGUCUGACUUCUUCGGUUGGCUUGGAGAGCUUGAUUCUGCUGGCUUUAUUGGCUUCCAUGAUGGCGUUGUAGUAAAUCAGGUGAUCCAGUCGGCUUCUUUGAAGUUCCAGGUUGGUGGUCGUGCGAUGGAUAUCGAGGGUUCGGACUUUACUUUGAUGUGGAUCGGGAGAUGGUCGCUGUUGAGGUGGGGCCGGUCGUUAUUUCGGAUGUCAGGGCCAGAUGUGGUGACAUCAGUGUCAAGUCGAUGGUUGAAGAGGAUGUGGGCGAUGGCGCGUCCGCUUUGGUUAGGGUGGCUGCAGGUCAUCUCCCAUCUGCCGUGAUGGGCGUUGAAGUCGCCUCCUACGAUUAGAUUUCCGCCUCUGCCCUGGAUUAGCUGGUUAAGUUCUUCUUCUUCGAUUGCGCUUCCGUUUGGUACGUAAACUGAAAAAAUGUCCAAGAGGUGGUUCUGGUUGUUUCUUUUUAUGGCUAUAGAUACACCAAUUGCUUCUAGAGUUUUAAACUGGGGUGUAGGUAUUUGAUGAAACUGAAGUGACUUGUGGAUUAAUAUGGCGACUCCGCCGCCUGGACGGUCCGUCCGGUUUUUGUGAGCUACAUGAUAAUUUUUAAAUUUAACUGAAAAAUUGUCUUUCCAAUAGGUUUCUGAGAUUAAUACAAUCAAGGGUUUGAAGAGA